GACAGAGGAUGCAAGCGUUAUCCGGAAUGAUUGGGCGUAAAGCGUCUGUAGGUGGUUUAGAAAGUCUACUGUCAAAUACCAAGGCUCAACCUUGGGCAGGCAGUAGAGUACUUUUAGACUAGAGUGUGGUAGAGGUAGAGGGAAUCCCUAGCGUAACAGUGAAAUGUGUAGAUUUUAGGGAGAACACCAGCGGCGAAGGCGCUCUACUGGGCCAAGACUGACACUGAGAGACGAAAGCUAGGGGAGCGAAUGGG
rnacentral:rRNA from 1 species